rnacentral:rRNA from 1 species
GAUGAACGCUGGCGGUCUGCUUAACACAUGCAAGUCGAACGGAAGUAGCAAUACUUUAGUGGCGGACGGGUGAGUAACACGUAAGAAUCUGCCUCCAGGACGGGAAAAACAGUUGGAAACGACUGCUAAUUCCGGAUGAGCCGAAAGGUAAAAAGAAAUUCGCCUGGAGAUGAGCUUGCGGCUGAUUAGCUAGUUGGUAGGGUAAGAGCCUACCAAGGCGACGAUCAGUAGCUGGUCUGAGAGGAUGAGCAGCCACACUGGGACUGAGACACGGCCCAGACUCCUACGGGAGGCAGCAGUGGGGAAUUUUCCGCAAUGGGCGAAAGCCUGACGGAGCAAGACCGCGUGGGGGAGGAAGGUUCUUGGAUUGUCAACCCCUUUUCUCAGGGAAGAAGAUCUGACGGUACCUGAGGAAUCAGCAUCGGCUAACUCCGUGCCAGCAGCCGCGGUAAAAC